rnacentral:rRNA from 1 species
GUCGAGAAUCAUUCACAAUGGGGGAAACCCUGAUGGUGUGACGCCGCGUGGAGGAUGAAGGUCUUCGGAUUGUAAACUCCUGUCAUGUGGGAGUAAAGCCGGGUGUUAAAUGCAUGCCGGUCUGAGAGUACCACAAGAGGAAGGGACGGCUAACUCUGUGCCAGCAGCCGCGGUAAUACAGAGGUCCCAAGCGUUGUUCGGAAUCACUGGGCGUAAAGGGUGCGUAGGCGGCGCGGAAAGUCAGGGGUGAAAUCCCGGAGCUCAACUCCGGAACUGCCUUUGAUACUCCCGCGCUUGAGAACUGGAGGGGAGACCGGAAUUCACGGUGGAGCAGUGAAAUGCGUGGAUAUCGUGAGGAACACUAGUGGCGAAGGCGGGUCUCUGGACAGUAUCUGACGCUGAGGCACGAAGGCCAGGGGAGCGAACGGGAUUAGAAACCCGGGUAGUCC